rnacentral:lncRNA from 1 species
ACACACACACACACACACACACACACACACUCACUCACUCGCACAGACAUGGUCAUCUUCACUUGACCAACUUUACCUUUUAGUCUCUGUUAGAAACAGGUGACUUUGAACCUUAUUGGAAAGAACAUCCACUGAGUUUUUCCAAGCCCAUAUUCCUUGUCCCAUCACAACAAGGAGACACUAUCAUUAAUCAAUGUGAUUAGAUAUGUUAAUCUUAGAGUCCAUACCUAUGAGCAUUAGGGUUGGAGUUUAUUCUAGUAACAGCCUUUGUAUAAAAACUAUAAAUGAAUGGUAAACUAUAUGAAUUAGUAUUUUAAAUGAAUUAGUAACCAAUAAAUAAUAUAUAUAUAUAUAUUAAUAGAAAUGCACUGUCAGAAAGUUCAUGAGUUCUCAAUCUAUAUUAAAAUACUUUCAUAUCUUACCCCACUGCAACCUUAAUUAAUGGCAUUCCGUGCUGUCUUAGCUUAGCGUAUUUAUGAUUGUAACACACCUGAAAUAACAUAAUCACCAGAAGGUCAGCUCACCCUGAGGAUCCUGUGUGGUUACUACAAGUGUCUCAGUGUAGACUUUGUGGCCAUUAUAUACUUUAAGGGACAGAAAAAAGUGCUGAAUGAGAAACUAUGAAAGACAAGGUCUGUUUCUGAAGAGUGGGUAAUACAGACGAUACCGUCUCCUGGGAAUUCCAGUGAGGCCCUUUACAUCAUGUGAAUACCCCAAUCCAGUAUGGACUGGUUGACUAAUUCAUCAAAAGCGUCCCCACUCUAAGAUUCUGUAGAGACGCCCUUAAGUGUUUGCAAAGCGAGGGUGAAUAGCAUAGCUUAAGCAAUAGCUCAGUGCUGUGGAUGGGUAAUGGUAAACAGUCCCUGUUAGCUGGGCUGUGUCUGUCCGCCCUCUGGUGGAUUCCCCUGGAACAGUUCAACUGUGUUGGCGACUUUCUGUAGCCUUUGGAAGCUUAAAGGUGGACUGUAGCCCGGUUAGUUCUGUGAAUUACAAGUGCUUAUAGCAUAUUUGCUAUAUGCUAUAAAGAUCACAGUGGAUAACCAUGUGAAUUUUGUGUACUGGAGUGGUAUUUGAACUUCCAACAAAUUCACUACACUUCUCUGAAGUGAUAGAAAAUAUUUUAUUGAAAUAAUUUCAGCAUAAGCUCUCACCCAAUUACAUUGACAGAAAAAUCUCCAUGAUUGUGGUAGGCUUUCUUGUUUGUUUGCUUCAGGGAAUCUUUCUUAUAAACAAUGUUUCCAACUUUAUGUAAAAGGUGACAGCAAUAGUAAUUAUUUACCCUGGUUGCUUUAAAACCUCUGCAGAUCAGGUGAUGACACUGUGUGGUGAUUUUUAGCAGAUGGUUAACCCACUAUUUUCAAUGAACAUUUUUUUUAAAUCUUUCUGUUACUGUUUUACAUAAGCAGUUUUCAUACAUACAGAUCAAAAGCAUUUUUUGUGUGUGUCUUCUUGGACGGUUCCCUGCAGUGGAAGGCCAUGCAUAGCAAAACUUUUAUAUGUACUGAAAUCCUCCCACUGACACAAUAUGAAUUUGAAUCUUAGGCAAUCUGCCUCUAGGCUUUAAGAUUUCAAUGUAAGGCACAGGAUAUGGGAUUAUUCUCUACAACCAUGGUGGGUGGAAUUCUCCUCUCUUGCUUCUUUCUUUUU